GCAGAAGGCUGUUCCCCACCAUUCUUCUUCGGGGCAGAAGCUAAAAAGAUCAAGAAGCUCUCUUGAUAUGAUCUUUAAAAAUAACAAGAAAGAAAUAGGCUACUGGAUAAGGUCAGGAGUAAUGAGAGGUGCCUACCCCAUCCUACUGGAGAAGCUAUAUUGCUGGCAUUACAGAAGUGAACGGUUGCAGUGAAGUUUGCCGAACUGAAAAAAACUACAGUAGCUGCAGGGUUGGCAAGUGUUUGCUACAGGACAAUCAUCUCUGCCAGAGAGGUGAGUAGACAGUUGAGAGUAGUGAUGCCUUAAAUCAUUAUGGGCUAAAUCUAUCAGUGCCUAUCUGUCAGAGCCCUUAGAAACUGUGCCAGCAGAUGAAG
rnacentral:lncRNA from 1 species